rnacentral:tRNA from 1 species
GCGCCCUUAGCUCAGUUGGUAGAGCAAAUGUCUUAUACACAUUAGGUCCCUGGUUCGAGCCCAGGAGGGCGCA